rnacentral:rRNA from 1 species
GGGUGCAAUCGUACUAGCACUAAUGCACCGGAUACCAUCAAAAUUCUGAAUUAAGCGUGCUUGGGCGAGAAUAGUACUAGGAUGGGUGACGUCCUGGGAGGUCCUCGUUUUUGCACCCC